UCAGUCGACUCCUACGGGGAGGCAGCAGUGAGGAAUAUUGGUCAAUGGACGAAAGUCUGAACCAGCCAUGCCGCGUGCAGGAUGACGGCCUAUGGGUUGUAACUGCUUUAUAAGGGAUAAACCCCCGACGUGUCGGGGCUGAAGGUACCUUACGAAUAAGGAUCGGCUAACUCCCGUGCCAGCAGCCGCGGUAAUACGGAGGAUCCAAGCGUUAUCCGGAUUUAUUGGGUUUAAAGGGUCCGCAGGCGGGUUAUUAAGUCAGUGGUGAAAUCCUGCAGCUUAACUGUAGAACUGCCAUUGAUACUGGUAAUCUUGAGUGUAGUUGAGGUGGGCGGAAUGUGUCAUGUAGCGGUGAAAUGCAUAGAUAUGACACAGAACACCGAUUGCGAAGGCAGCUCACUAAGCUAUUACUGACGCUCAUGGACGAAAGCGUGGGGAGCGAACAGGAUUAGAUACCCUGGUAG
rnacentral:rRNA from 1 species